UACGGAGGAUCCGAGCGUUAUCCGGAUUUAUUGGGUUUAAAGGGUGCGUAGGCGGCCUAUUAAGUCAGAGGUGAAAGACGGUAGCUUAACUAUCGCAGUGCCUUUGAUACUGAUGGGCUUGAAUGUAGUUGAGGUAGGCGGAAUGUGACAAGUAGCGGUGAAAUGCAUAGAUAUGUCACAGAACACCAAUUGCGAAGGCAGCUUACUAAAGUAUGAUUGACGCUGAGGCACGAAAGCGUGGGGAUCAAACAGG
rnacentral:rRNA from 1 species